rnacentral:rRNA from 1 species
AUUGAACGCUGGCGGCAGGCCUAACACAUGCAAGUCGAGCGGAUGAAGGGAGCUUGCUCCUGGAUACAGCGGCGGACGGGUGAGUAAUGCCUAGGAAUCUGCCUGGUAGUGGGGGAUAACGUCCGGAAACGGGCGCUAAUACCGCAUACGUCCUGAGGGAGAAAGUGGGGGAUCUUCGGACCUCACGCUAUCAGAUGAGCCUAGGUCGGAUUAGCUAGUUGGUGGGGUAAAGGCCUACCAAGGCGACGAUCCGUAACUGGUCUGAGAGGAUGAUCAGUCACACUGGAACUGAGACACGGUCCAGACUCCUACGGGAGGCAGCAGUGGGGAAUAUUGGACAAAGGGCGAAAGCCUGAUCCAGCCAUGCCGCGUGUGUGAAGAAGGUCUUCGGAUUGUAAAGCACUUUAAGUUGGGAGGAAGGGCAGUAAGUUAAUACCUUGCUGUUUUGACGUUACCAACAGAAUAAGCACCGGCUAACUUCGUG